GGGGGAUAACACUUAGAAAUAGGUGCUAAUACCGCAUAAGCGCACGGUUCCGCAUGGAACAGUGUGAAAAACUCCGGUGGUAUACGAUGGAUCCGCGUCUGAUUAGCCAGUUGGCGGGGUAACGGCCCACCAAAGCGACGAUCAGUAGCCGGCCUGAGAGGGUGAACGGCCACAUUGGGACUGAGACACGGCCCAAACUCCUACGGGAGGCAGCAGUGGGGAAUAUUGCACAAUGGGGGAAACCCUGAUGCAGCGACGCCGCGUGAGUGAAGAAGUAUUUCGGUACGUAAAGCUCUAUCAGCAGGGAAGAAAAAAAGUCCUUUGGACUUUGGACGGUACCUGACCAAGAAGCCCCGGCUAACUACGUGCCAGCAGCCGCGGUAAUACGUAGGGGGCAAGCGUUAUCCGGAUUUACUGGGUGUAAAGGGAGCGUAGACGGCAGCGCAAGUCUGGAGUGAAAUGCCGGGGCCCAACCCCGGAACUGCUUUGGAAACUGUGCAGCUGGAGUGCAGGAGAGGUAAGCGGAAUUCCUAGUGUAGCGGUGAAAUGCGUAGAUAUUAGGAGGAACACCAGCGGCGAAGGCGGCUUACUGGACUGUAACUGACGUUGAGGCUCGAAAGCGUGGGGAGCAAACAGGAUUAGAUACCCUGGUAGUCCACGCCGUAAACGAUGAUUACUAGGUGUCGGGGGGCCAAGGCCCUUCGGUGCCGCCGCAAACG
rnacentral:rRNA from 1 species